GGCUGUGUGAACUCUCUUUAGCUAAAGCCAAGGAAAGAUUCUUUUGUUUCAUUUUUCUAGAGCCAGAGGAUUAGAGAUGUUGGGUGUGUUUAGCAGCGCCAUCGUUUCUCCGCCGGCCGAGCUGGUAGCGGCGGGGUGCCGGACGCCAUCUCCGAAGAUAACGGCUGAUGCGCUGGUGAAGCGCUUCCUCAACACCAACCCAUCCGCUGUGUCCUUACAGAUCGGAGACAACGCGCAGUUGGCCUACACCCACCACAGCGAGUCCAUGCUGCAACCCAGAUCAUUCGCAGUUAAAGAUGAUAUCUUCUGCUUGUUUGAGGGAGCACUUGACAACUUGGGAAGUCUCACGGUAUUUAGGUUCUAGUCUAAACAAGCGAUGAAGUGAUUGCUAGACCAUUAAGUUACAG
rnacentral:misc_RNA from 1 species